rnacentral:rRNA from 1 species
UACGUAGGGGCCCAGCGUUGUCCGGAUUCAUUGGGCGUAAAGGGUGUGUAGGUGGCGCGCUAAGUCGGGUGUGAAAUUUCGGAGCUUAACUCCGAAACUGCAUUCGAUACUGGCGUGCUUGAGGACUGGAGGGGAGACUGGAAUUCAUGGUGUAGCAGUGAAAUGCGUAGAGAUCAUGAGGAAGACCAGUGGCGAAGGCGGGUCUCUGGACAGUUCCUGACACUGAGACACGAAGGCCAGGGGAGCAAACGGG